CAGUAGAAGAGGCUGUUAGCAAGAAAUCGUUGAGCUGAACUUGAGGAAACACUUUUUGUGACUGCUUGAGUGGUUGUUUAUGUGCAAAUGAGGAUUCCAUAGAAUCAUCGGAAGGACCAUAGCAACCAUGGAAUCCUGCACGUCCAUUUUGUGUCUGUGUGUUCUAAUGUUUUAUCCAACCAUUUCUGAACAUAGGAAUGCAUCCUCAGUCACAAUGUCUGAACAUGUUCUUUAUAUCAUUAUAUAUGGAUAUAUUAAUUGAGCUCUGCUGCAGGGGGUCAGUGAAGGUCUCAUGACAUGUGAAGCUGUGGAACCUGUCAAUCAUCCUAGCUACCCAUGGGGGCGGGUACAAGUGAGGGUAUGUGGGGUUUGCAGAGACAGUGAGGAGGGAUGUUUGUCAAUGAUCUGCUCGUAGUCGAAGUCAGUCUAUGAUAAUAUAUGAUUAAUUAUAACUAUAAUAAUCUAGAUUGCUUAUCUAUUGCUUAUCAAAUCAGCCCAAACGUUUCUUCAAAUGAAUUAUAUGUGAUGUGCAAGCUGUUGGUUUGGACUGCUGACAUUUUUUGUAUGAGCUCUUCCAUAAGAUGAUAUAGUUUGUUAAAUGUCAUUGUAACAAAGGGAAUCGUUUUGGUCUGUGGCUGCUAUCAGUCCAAUGACGCGCUAUGAGCUCAUGUACGAGCGAGAUCUUCAUCUUUAUUCCUAUUUCAUUAGAAUCACAAAUAACGUUUUAAAUCAGCUAUGCAUAAUAGUGUUUUUUUUUAUGGGAACGUGGAGGUAGCAGAUACAUAAACAUGCACUGAGGGGAAGACCGGGGGGCAAACUCUCUCUCUGGUUCCCUCAACAGGUUGAUGUGACCAUGACUGCAUGUGCUUCAUACAGAUCAUCUUUAGUCCAACGACUUUUUAUUAAACAAACAAUUAGACAAUUAUGUUUGUCUUACGUCCCUUCAAUUGGUUCUCAGAAAUAUCUAUUGACAUCAUAGUGUUUGUAUGUGGGUCAUUUGAACACUUUAUUUUUGGAGAAUUAACUAUAUUAUUUUGAAUGGCACGUUUAAUUUUGCAUGUGAUUUGUGGGAUGUUAAAUUGUUUUUGUGAGUUUUGAGAUUUAACUGAAGUGAUUUACACUAGUAAAGGUUACUGGACUGAUGUACACGGCUAACAACCUGCUGUGGCCACCAUGCAAGUGUAUGAAAAAGAGCAAAUAUUGAAUAAGGUAAUGAAUCAUUUGUACGGUAAUGAAUCAAGCAUUUAUGGAAACUUGUAAUACAAUGUAGUGAUGUAGAUAAAGUGCAACCCCAAAAAUACAACCACCAGUAUAAUUUGAAUAAUGCUAUACAAUAUUAACCACUUUAAAUGACAGAAGCUAUCUUUUCAAUCCAGUUCUAUGUUAGACCUUGUGUUUCUGGAGUUAUCAGAAAACCACUUAAGUGCUCAAGAAAUGGCCACAUGGUGCUGCUAAUACAUCAACUAUUCACAUGUGCCCUCACUGGUGCUGACCUUUCCUCCUCUUAGCUGGAAAAUGAUGUUUACAUAUUUCAUCAAUUCUGCAAGAAUCAAGCUUUGUGUAUG
ensembl:lncRNA